UUUUCCUUGCACUUUACUGUUAGCUACAUUUGCGUGAAGUUUGUGAGAGGGACGUUACGGUAACAAAAGUAUGGCAGGUUUGGAAUUGUUUCUUUUAUUUUAGGACGUCGAAGAACUUAGUAUCAAUCAAAAAUGUAAGUUAUUUUGUAUUUUAUUAAUAAAAACUAUAUAGCCGAAACGUAAUAUUAUUACACAUUACAAUCGGGAAAGCGUUACUGUUUUUUUUUAAAGGAAAAAAUGUAAAUAUUUCACAGAAAAUCCGGUAAAUGUUAUUGUAUCACAUAAAAUUUGUAAAUUAUCAAUUAUUUUUCGUAGGUACAAUUUUUUGGACACAAAGUUAAAUUUUCCAUGAAUAAGGACUUUAGUUAUAAAUUAGCAUUAAUCAUAAGGAUUAUACAUGUUAAACUUUUAAUUUUUCAUGUGACGUAUACGAUCAUAGUUAUUUUUGACCAUUAUGAUAAUUGGCUUAUGAUAUAAAACAAAAUACAGAUAUGAAUAAUUGAUAGUUGGCAUAUGAGGUCUAACAAAGUAUUGACACGGAUGAUUGACGUGUGAUAUGUAAAAAUGAUGGCCAUGUUGAUGACAAUGUUGUUUUGAUGAGGACGUCUAUGGGUGUUACAAUGAUGAUGAAAUGACGUUGUUCAAGGUAGUGAGCAUCAGCAGACGUAAAGCAGGAAAUGGUGGGAAAAAUCCUAGCAGACGACAGUUGUCGCGCAGAUGCAAUCAUGCACGAUAUCAGACUGCCCGAAAUUACAGGCUGGCCCAGCUCUAUACUGGAUUCGCUUUCAGCAUGUUAGGGUUUGAAAAAGGAAAUCAUAACUUUGUAACGUAGCAGACGACAUUAAAUUUUAAAGUGGAAAUUUGCGACUUCCGGUGUGUCUGCUACUCGAUGUUGUGAUCUCAGUUACUUCCCCUGACGUUCAGUAUAUGAAAUGAGGGUCAAGUUUCAGGAUUUGAAAUAAAGAAAGAACGAAAGAUAUGAAAUGAGCUCCGGCAAACUGAUCUUGGCAUGUACUUCCUUAGCACAGAACUUGAACCUACUGAUUAUGAUGAGAAAUACGGAACAUGGUAAAUUGAGCAGGUGAAGGAAUGAAGAAAACACCACCCUCUUUACAGUCAGCAAAAUAACUAUGCUUUGUUACGGUUUGGAACUACUGCAUGCGGUUACAACUUAUGUGACAAAGAGAUUUUAAUCCGCUUGAUACGAUUUGGUAUCUUUCUGAAAAUGUCAUGUUUAACUUCUGAAUGGUGUUUUUUUCUGCCAAGUUUAAGAAAUAUAUUACCAUGUAACUGUCUAAUAUUUAUGGCAAUUAUGAAGUAAUCGUGAGUUUUUGGCGUAGUAAUAAAACCCUUAAAAGGUGUUAGCUCGAUUGGAUUUUCUACAUGAGCUUGAAAAAAUAACACCUUCAUAAAUGCCUUGAUGUGAACAGAAUAGAAGGGAUAUUUUAUUUGCUUUUUACAUUGUACAUCUUCUAUUUAACAUACUGUACCGUCAAUAAAUUGAAAUGGCAAUAAUGAGUAUAAUUAAUUGCAAUAAUGAAUGAUGCACUUUUUUGCAAUGUAUAUUUCAAGUGGUGUCAUAAGUAAAAUUUGAUCAGGAAUGUACAUUUAUUAAGACUUAAUAUAUAUGCAAACAUACUGUACCGUUAACAUAAUGGCAAUAGUAAAAUUGCAGAAAUGAAUGAUGCGCAUUUUUUACAAUGUAUAUUUCAAGAAGUGUAGUAAGUAACAUUUAAUAGUUAAUAAAAACAUACUAGGCCGUACAAUGAGAAAUGAUGAUAAUUUAACAACGUCAUGAUAGAAACAUCCAUUUGAAAUUUUUAAGAUUUAGAUAAUAAUAACACCACCAAGAAUAUCACCACUACCACCAAAAAACAACAUUAAUGAAACAUAAUGAAAACUCCAACGAUGAAAUAUUUCAUCAUUUAAAAACAUGCAAUGAUGAAAAAAUUAAAUAAAAUAUUAAAAUGAUUGUAAUCACGACCAGAAGAACAAUAAUGAAAUAAAGUAAUGAAAUAACAAUAUGAGUGAAAUGAAAUAUAAACAAUAAAAUUAAAUGAAAUGAACAAUAAUGAAAUAAAAUGAAAACAUAAAUAAUGAAAUAAGAUAAAAUAAAAACAAUAAAAUAAAGCAAACAAAAAAUGAAAAUAAAAAAUUGAAAUAAGGUAACAAGAAAUGGAAUGAAAGAAUAGUAUUGUCACAAGUGACCAUUCAGUUGUUUACCUAUAACAUGCUUGACCUUAAAGUGACCAGCUUUUGCCACCAGUAUGCAGCCAGGCCAACCUGUACGUCCAUGCAGAUUGACCAGGCUCUAAACGUUGGCUGACCAAUUUCAAAUUUGAUUUUAUUCAAGUUAUAUUCCCUAAAUUGAGAAUGAACGUAUUCAGAAACGGAAGCUGGACAAGUCCGCUUCCGAUAAUAUUAUCAACCAUAUACAUGAUAUAAUGUGUUCCUUUAUAAUAUUAAAGUAUCAUUUGUUUCAUUUUUUUAUCUUUUAAAUGCUUUAAAUAAGGAGUCACAAAGGGUUACUUUAUCAUUUUCAUUUCCAAGCAUAUCCUCGUGCGUUUCAUCGCCGGAUAGCCACUGAUAAACACUGCCUAUCUUGAUUACAUGUUUAUCAACCGUGAGUAUCCGACGAUGCAUGCGUUUCUGCUUGUUUUUUUUUUGUUGUUGUUGAUUUUUUUAUUGUUGUUUUCAGUUUUUAUAUGAUCUGACAAAAGUUAAAAAAAGAUG